GACGAGGGGUCCAAGCGUUGCUCGGAAUCAUUGGGCGUAAAGCGGGUGUAGGCGGCUUUGUAAGUCAGGAGUGAAAGCCCUGGGCUCAACCCGGGAAGUGCUCUUGAAACUGUAAAGCUUGAGUGUAGGAGAGGGCAGUAGAAUUCCUGGUGUAGUGGUGAAAUACGUAGAUAUCAGGAGGAAUACCUGAGGGGAAGCCGGCUGCCUGGUCUAACACUGACGCUCAGACCCGAAAGCGUGGGGAUCAAACAGG
rnacentral:rRNA from 1 species